CCAGGCCGCCGGGCGGUCGCGGUGUUGCUCGCCAACCGGCGUGCGGCAUCGAGGAAAGUCCGGGCUCCGCGGGACAGGGCGCUGGGUAACUCCCAGGCAGCGCGAGCUGACGGAAAGCGCACAGAAACAUACCGCCUACCCGUUCCGGCCGUGUUUUCGUGGCCGAGGACGGCGGCAAGGGUGAGAUGGUGCGGUAAGAGCGCACCAGCGGUCGGGUGACCGGCCGGCUGAGCAAGCCCCGCCCGGAGCAAGACCAAAUAGAGAGGCGAUGGCUCGUCCCGGGCCGCCUCCGGGUAGGUCGCUCGAGGCGGCGGGUAACCGUCGUCCCAGAUGGAUGAUCGCCGCCCGGCGCGCGACACAACUCGUGGCGUCGGGUACAGAACCCGGCUUACAGGCGGCCUGGCGCU
rnacentral:RNase_P_RNA from 1 species